rnacentral:rRNA from 1 species
UUCCGGUUGAUCCUGCCGGAGGUCACUGCUAUUGGAGUCCGACUUAGCCAUUCUAGUCGUCCGUGUUAGACACGGGGCGGAAAGCUGAGUAACACGUAGUCAACCUGCCCUAUGGAUGGGUACAACCUCGGGAAACUGAGGCUAAUACCCAAUAGGGAAGUAGGCCUGGAAUGGUACCUUCCCGAAAUGCUCCGGCGCCAUAGGAUGGGACUGCGGCUGAUUAGGUAGACGCUGAGGUAACUUCUCGGCGUGCCGAUAAUCAGUAGCGUGCGUGAGAGCGCGAGCCGUCAGUCGUGUUCUGAGACAAGAACACGGGUCCUACGGGACGCAGCAGGCACGAAAACUUUACAAUGCGCGACAGCGCGAUAGGGGGACUCCAAGUGCCUCUCGUAAACAAAGCGGGAGGCUUUUCUUAACUGUAAGGAGGUUCAGGAACAAGUGGUGGGCAAGACUGCUGCCAGCCGCCGCGGU